rnacentral:rRNA from 1 species
UACGUAGGGCGCAAGCGUUGUCCGGAAUUAUUGGGCGUAAAGAGCUCGUAGGCGGCCUGUUGCGUCCGCUGUGAAAUCCCGGGGCUCAACCCCGGGCCUGCAGUGGAUACGGGCUGGCUAGAGGCAGGCAGGGGAGAGCGGAAUUCCUGGUGUAGCGGUGAAAUGCGCAGAUAUCAGGAGGAACACCGGUGGCGAAGGCGGUUCUCUGGGCCUGUACUGACGCUGAGGAGCGAAAGCGUGGGGAGCAAACAGG